GAUAAACGCUGGCGGCGCACAUAAGACAUGCAAGUCGAACGGAAGUCGUUAUACAAGGAGAGAAGAUUUAUCGGAUUGAAUUAUAUAACAAUGGCUUUAGUGGCGGACUGGUGAGUAACGCGUAAGAAAUCUACCUAUUAGAGGGGAACAACAAUGAGAAAUCAUUGCUAAUACCGCAUAUGCCAUAAACAUCGCAUGAUGAAAGUGGGAAAGGAGCAAUCCGCUGAUAGAUGAUCUUGCGUCUGAUUAGUUAGUUGGUGGGGUAAUGGCCUACCAAGACGACGAUCAGUAGCCGGACUGAGAGGUUGAACGGCCACAUUGGGACUGAGAUACGGCCCAGACUCCUACGGGAGGCAGCAGUCGGGAAUAUUGCGCAAUGGAGGAAACUCUGACGCAGUGACGCCGCGUGCAGGAAGAAGGUUUUCGGAUUGUAAACUGCUUUAGACAGGGAAGAGAAAGGACAGUACCUGUAGAAUAAGCUCCGGCUAACUACGUGCCAGCAGCCGCGGUAAUACGUAGGGAGCGAGCGUUAUCCGGAUUUAUUGGGUGUAAAGGGUGCGUAGACGGGAAUACAAGUUAGUUGUGAAAUACCUCGGCUUAACUGAGGAACUGCAACUAAAACUAUAUUUCUUGAGUGCAGGAGAGGUAAGUGGAAUUCCUAGUGUAGCGGUGAAAUGCGUAGAUAUUAGGAGGAACACCAGUGGCGAAGGCGACUUACUGGACUGAAACUGACGUUGAGGCACGAAAGUGUGGGGAGCAAACAGGAUUAGAUACCCUGGUAGUCCACACCGUAAACGAUCUAAAGGGGGUGUAGGAGAUAUUAAGUAUUUUGUGCCGUCGCAAACGCAGUAAGUAUCCCACCUGGGGGAGUGCGGCCGCAAGGUUGAAACUCAAAGGAAUUGACGGGGGCCCGCACAAGCAGUGGAGUAUGUGGUUUAAUUUGAAGCAACGCGAAGAACCUUACCAGGGCUUGACAUAUAGAUGAAUAUAUAAGAGAUUAUAUAGCUUUUCGGAGCAUCUAUACAGGUGGUGCAUGGUUGUCGUCAGCUCGUGUCGUGAGAUGUUGGGUUAAGUCCCGCAACGAGCGCAACCCCUGUUUCUAGUUGCCAGCAUGUAAAGAUGGGAACUCUAGAAAGACUGCCGUAGAUAAUACGGAGGAAGGUGGGGAUGACGUCAAAUCAUCAUGCCCUUUAUGUCUUGGGCUACACACGUACUACAAUGGCUGCAACAGAGGGAAGCGAACCAGUGAUGGUAAGCGAAACCCGAAAAGCAGUCACAGUUCGGAUUGAAGGCUGAAACUCGCCUUCAUGAAGCCGGAAUUGCUAGUAAUGGCAGGUCAGCAUACUGCCGUGAAUAAAUGCCCGGGCCUUGCACU
rnacentral:rRNA from 1 species